GAUGGCGGCGCCCAUUGUGACAAAACCAGCAGAAGACCGUUAAAAUGUUCGCAGUUGUUGCGGUUGUUUUGGCUUGCGUGUCACACGAAAGUGUGACUUCGGAUGGGAAUGUUACUGCGCUUUGCGGAGUCCAUUUACUGCACUUUGGGUGCAACCACGCCGUUUGCUCACGACUUGUUUCUAAUGACCAUGCUGUGCGCUCGCGUAUUCAUAACGUGUGCGUGUUAACGGAGGGUAAUUGCUCACGAACCGCAGUGCAUGAAGUGUUUCCGACGCAAAGUGCUGCACUCCAUGCGGCCUACUUAAUGUGAUCUGCGCUUUUGUGUUUGUGCACCGACGUCGUUGGUGUGUCGUCCGUUGGUGGAGCGUACUUGUCGUCCUAGGAUGUUUUCGGUAUGUGAGUUUGCGAUGUAGUAAACGGCUCGAAAAAAGAAGUGGACGACCUACGACUCCAGCAGAACAACCGAGUUACGGUUUCGGCAAAGUCGAUCCCGCGAUGCGUGCGAAAGCCCGCGAGAAAAGCCGACUUCGUUUACGGUGGUUGUGACACACUUCCGUGCAGUGCAGACUUGGAAUGGAGAACCGAGCAAGCUGGUAUGCACUUCCAAGAGGCACUCAUCUCAUCAUGAGGAAGAUUGUGGCUAUGCGCGGGUGCACAGCUUUUGAUGUGCUCGCAAGUUUCAUUUUCGCGGUUGAUAAAGUGUUAAUCUCUUU